CAAUAUUUACAAAUCUAUAAUUAAUCGCUUCAUGAAAAUUUCCUCAGCACACAAACAAGGAAUUAACAUGGGCAUAUUACUAUAACCCACUGUAGGUUUGUUCGGUGUUGUUUCAUGAUACACAAUAAUUAUCCCCCCAUGUAUCCUAAGACAGCAAGUUUCCUGGGACAGGAAUUUCUUAGUUGUUCAACAUAGCUCAUCCAUUGUAUAAUGGCAAGUGCACUUAUAAAAAUGUCACGUGCUAGCCUGAUCUCUAACCUGAAAGAUGCAGUCUCAUUUUCCUCUCUUUCCAGGCUCUCCAAACACCCACUCUUGUCCCAGCCUGUUGUUUUCCAUACCUCUUAGUGAGUUUCAUCUUCCCAGUCCAGUUUCUUCUCUCCUAUUUCUGCUUCUCCCACCAUCCCUCAACAUCAGUCCAUGCAUAUGUUUUGUCUUGUCAGGUCUUGCUAUCUGCUCCCCAUUCUCUUUUCUAGUUAACCAUUUCUCCCUCCCCACUUUUUUCCUUUUACCUUUCUGAUCUCAGUCUCUCAAAAUUAAACACUGUAUAUUAUACUUUUCUAAAAUGCCAACCAAGGUACUAUUACACAAAGGAGGUGUGAAAAACCCAGUUAAAAAGGGUUAGUGGUAUGUUUGAGGCAAGGGGAUUUUACCCAGUGAAGAUGAGUGGUCUUUUAACAGGCCCCCAGUGAAUCACACUUUCUUAUCACCCCUUCCAGACAUCUUCAUACUCCUAGUCCAGAGAACCUACUUGAAGGUGUUCACAACCAGGCUGAGGAUUAGUACAGUACAUGUUUCCCUUCAGCAAUAGAAAGCAGAGAGCAAUUUAACUUCUCACUUCAUUGAAGAGGCAGAAGGAUGGGAAAGCAACAGUGCUUUGCCCACAGUGGCACUCCUACAUUCUGCAGCAUAUAUAAGGGGAGGAAAAAUUAAGCAACAGAGCAAGGAAGAGCAGGAGACUUUGAUUACCUUCUGUACUGUGGCACCCCAAGUCUAUAUUGGUCCAUGGACAAACCCAUUGGUCCAUAUGUAAGGCUAUUGUUGUCCCUAAUGUCCUGUCCAUGAAGCCUGGGGAAAGAAUAUUAAGGUACACCCAUAGGAAGCGCUUCUCUUACAAUCUACACAAUGUACAUUUGUCUCUAUCAACUCAUGGCCCUUGGGAUUUUUGACCUAAUAUAAUUCCAGAAGUGAAGCUAUUGCAGAAGGGAACUGCUUGCCUGCAAAGAGGUCUUCUCCAGAAAGACCAUCCUACAUCUGACUGCAGUGACAUGCAUUGGCUAUCCGCUUAGUCCCAGAAAAACUUCCAGAUGGCUGCUGUUCCCUUUCUGCUUCUUAUAAGAUAAGAUGGGGGGGAGGAGAAAGCACAAAGAGAUGUAGAAAAACUCACCAAGGUGGAGUGAUAUAAAUGGUCUGGGCUUCAGAGACUUAUUCAAUAUGCACAAAGUCAGUGGCUGAACUGGAAAGAGCAAAGUCUUCAAACCCUUGGUCAUAUCCAAGGAUCCUGGUUUUCUCUGAUUAAAAAUAACAAUCAACACCCUCGCCCUUCAAAAUCCACAUUUUUCCAUGAUUAAAACAACACACCACAUAUACACAAAUGUGGAUUUUGGGAGAGAUAUAUCUAUAGUUUUUGAUCAUGGGAAAGUGUGGAUUUUGGGUUACAUUUUAAUUAAUGGAUGGCUUAUCUGUUUAUUUUCACAAUACAAAGUAGCAUGGAGAUAUUCACAGGGACUUCUUCAACUUAAGAGGUAGGUUUAUGUUUUACAUAUUGAUGGAUAUGCUGUGUUGCACAUAUUCCAAAAAGUUGUUAUUACCAGUUGCCAACUAAAAAGAAAGAGGCUUAAGAUGGCUUAUUUAAAUGGUGUAAUAAAUUGUGCUGAAACAUA